GGAGUUAGCCGGUGCUUCUUCUGUGAGUGAUGUCCUUCCUGCCGGCUAUUAACCCGCAGGCCUUCUUCCUCACUGAAAGUGCUUUACAACCCGAAGGCCUUCUUCACACACGCGGCAUGGCUGGAUCAGGGUUGCCCCCAUUGUCCAAUAUUCCCCACUGCUGCCUCCCGUAGGAGUCUGGGCCGUGUCUCAGUCCCAGUGUGGCUGAUCAUCCUCUCAGACCAGCUACGGAUCGUCGCCUUGGUGAGCCGUUACCUCACCAACCAGCUAAUCCGACAUAGGCUCAUCCGAUAGCGCGAGGCCCGAAGGUCCCCCGCUUUCCCCCGUAGGGCGUAUGCGGUAUUAGCCUGGGUUUCCCCAGGUUAUCCCCCACUACCGGGGCAGAUUCCUAUGCAUUACUCACCCGUCCGCCGCUCGCCACCAGGGAGCAAGCUCCCCGUGCUGCCGCUCGACUUGCAUGUGUUAGGCCUGCCGCCAGCGUUCAAUCUGAGCCAUGAUCAAACUCUGA
rnacentral:rRNA from 1 species